AGAGUUUGAUCAUGGCUCAGAUUGAACGCUGGCGGCAUGCCUUACACAUGCAAGUCGAACGGCAGCACGGACUUCGGUCUGGUGGCGAGUGGCGAACGGGUGAGUAAUACAUCGGAACGUGUCCUGGAGUGGGGGAUAGCCCGGCGAAAGCCGGAUUAAUACCGCAUACGCUCUGUGGAGGAAAGCGGGGGAUCGCAAGACCUCGCGCUCAAGGGGCGGCCGAUGGCAGAUUAGCUAGUUGGUGGGGUAAAGGCCUACCAAGGCGACGAUCUGUAGCUGGUCUGAGAGGACGACCAGCCACACUGGGACUGAGACACGGCCCAGACUCCUACAGGAGGCAGCAGUGGGGAAUUUUGGACAAUGGGCGCAAGCCUGAUCCAGCAAUGCCGCGUGUGUGAAGAAGGCCUUCGGGUUGUAAAGCACUUUUGUCCGGAAAGAAAACUUCCUGGUUAAUACCCGGGGAGGAUGACGGUACCGGAAGAAUAAGCACCGGCUAACUACGUGCCAGCAGCCGCGGUAAUACGUAGGGUGCAAGCGUUAAUCGGAAUUACUGGGCGUAAAGCGUGCGCAGGCGGUUCGUUAAGACAGAUGUGAAAUCCCCGGGCUUAACCUGGGAACUGCAUUUGUGACUGGCGGACUCGAGUAUGGCAGAGGGGGGUAGAAUUCCACGUAGCAGUGAAAUGCGUAGAGAUGUGGAGGAAUACCGAUGGCGAAGGCAGCCCCCUGGGCCAAUACUGACGCUCAUGCACGAAAGCGUGGGGAGCAAACAGGAUUAGAUACCCUAGUAGUCC
rnacentral:rRNA from 1 species